AAAAAUAUAUUAGUUUUCUUAAUACAAUUAAUAUGGAGAAAGCUUCGUUGAUUGUGUUUUUCGUAGUCACUUCUUUGAUCUUUUCAUGUGAUAUUGUGAUGGGACAAAAGUGUUCUACGAUUUUGGAUUGUCCACAUGUAUGCAAAUAUGGAUAUCAAGUAUGUUAUAAGGGCAUGUGUGGUUGUUGUGCUGGUCAUGGUCCAAAAUGUCAUCAUGGUGAACAUGCUCAUGAUCCAAAGUAAUGACCUUGGAAGAUUUUUCUUAAUUACUUUGUUAAAGCAAUUUAGAGUUGCUAUGCCUUUACUUUGGUUAUGAAAAUGUAAUCGCGCUUCGCGUGGUCAUAUAUAAUAUUAUCGAGUAUUAAUCCA